rnacentral:lncRNA from 1 species
GAUACGUCGAAUUUAUAAUAAUUGAAGAAUAAAUGUGCGAAAUUUCUCGAAUAAAAGAGAAGAAAUUUUACCAAAUUUCGUACGCUGUUAUACUUUACCAAUAUUUUUAUUUUUGACAAAAAUUUGCGUUUAAUUGUUUGGGAGAUAAUUAUCGAGCAUCGUUGAGCAAGCGAUUGACGCCGUACAUUCUUGUUAAUAUGCCAGAAAAAAUAAAAUAAAAUAAAAAUAAUAAUAAGAAAAAAAGGAAGUUAAUAAUAACAGAAAUAAUAUUAACAAUCGGCAGUACACCAUUUAUAAUUAGUCGAGACAUAAUUAAAACAUAAUUACUCAUUGUAACCCGAACGAAAGAAUGAGUAUACGAUAAUGUUGAAAUAAAUGCCAUUUUAAUUACCACAAACAAAAACAAAGGUGGGGGAAGUCAAGCCAAAACAACAUUAAAACGCUAGCAGCAACAGCAUCUUUCUUAAACUUAUAAUUAUCGUUUGAGUAAAGAAGGGAAGAGAGGGAGCAGUAGAAGAGAGGCUGUGCUGUCCCGUAAUACCUUCUUUCAUUGUUCCUUUCGCUACUUAUCGACACAACUCCGAUCGAUUGUAGCGCCUAGGGGGUCAGAGACCGGGAACUAGGGUUCCAUUAGCAAGCGGUCGGUGAAAAGAACCAGCGGGGACUUGCUUCCUAAUCUAAUAUACACGCUUUAGCAAUGGUAGAAGGCGAAGCGACGGAAGAAGAAUCAAAAAAAUAACCUUUCGGGUGUUAAAUUAGAAAAUAAUUAAUGGGCGCAACAAUUAAAUCUACCAGACAAUUAAAGUUGUGUUAAUUGUUUGUUUCCACCUCUAGUCUGUAAUAUCUCAUUAAAUCUUGUAUUCUUUUUACACCGUCCUUCAAGGCGCUCAAUUAAGCUAGUUAAUAUAGAAACCAAAUUCACUUUAUGUGGAGUAAAAGCCGAUUUCUUGACCUCUACUCGACUAGGAGGAGGCGGAGUACUUAGCAAUGUUGCUAAUUUUUAUCACGGCCUUUGGCAAAGCAGCUGAGCACAUCUAGCAUUGCGUGGACAAGUGGUAGAAUAACUACGGUUGAAGUACUCCUUCAAGCUUCUAUUCCCUUUACCGGGCAGAUGAAGUGUGCCACUUGUGACCCCCAUCCUCUUUUGCCCCACAUAAGGGUGUAUUCUGUGCAGGAGCUGUCUACACCACCACUCAAAGUGGUGCUGUUACCAUGGCCACAAGCAUCCACUCCACCUUAGCUUGUACUAGAAGCUGGAAAUGCUCAACUUCGUUCUAUCUGAAGUAUUAUAUCUUUCACUUUCUUUACUACCCUCCUGGCCUUUGUUAUACCCGUAUUCAUCUUAUUUCUCCCAUUGAAAAAUUCACUAAAUAUUUUUUUUUUCUUCUUGUGUUAUUACCCUUCGGUAUCAAAAAAGGUGUUUGAACCAAUACGUGCCGAACAUGAGUAAGAUUUUUCUUCUUCUUCUUCAUCUAGCAGGAAGUUAGAUAUGAAUGAUUAAUUUUUAAAUAUAAAUAUAUUAUCCAUAUAUUAAUAAGUUAAAAAAUUGGAACAGAACAUCAUAUUUUAAUCUGAAUAAAAUAAAUGUAGCAAAUUACAUAGAAUAUUAUUAAUAACUGGAAAUCAUUGAAUCGUGAAAGUAUAAAUACUGUAUUAGGUAACUAGU